GAAAAAAAAUAUGAAUCGACAAAAAACUUUGCGAUAUGUCCAAAGCCAAGUUUUCUUCUUGGACUCCUUUCUUCUUUUCUGUUUGAAGAAAGGAAAUCAAUAGGAUUGUGAGCGCAUGCAAUCGAAGCUAGAAUCGCUCGUUUCCGAUUUGGAACAAAUGGUCACUAAUACAAAAUCACCCAUGGUCCAGAUUCGUGCGAAGCUCUUUUAAGUAAAUGUGAUGAAAGGCGAAGACUUAUGGAACAACCAGACGAAGAAAAAGUUUCAACUACAAUGAAAAGAUAAGCUUUCUUGUUUUUUGGAAAUCUCGUUUUGUAUUUUUGUUUCUCUGCUAUAAACUCAGUUUUUUUCUAUACAUGCAACAAUAUAUAGGAUGGGUUUUCGAAAUAAAAUAGAUUGAUUGGUUUUUGAAAUAUUUUUUCUCUCUGAUUGUUUUCUGAUUAAUGUUUUAAAAAAAAAAUCAGUGAAGUACGGUAUCUGGAUAAAAUUCAAGGGUUGCGUAGAUGAAGAUGGAAGUCUAAAACAGUAAAGAUAAGCUGUCUACUCUAUCUAUUGUCCUAAAGUUAUACAAUACAAUGGACUCAAAGCAGAUAUAUAAUGUUACAAAUAUUAAUAUGGUAUUAUAUUAACGAUUGCAGGUUAUAUAUGGUGUUGUACUUGGAAUCAUUACAAUGGUUGCACGGAUGAAGCUCGAAGUCUAAAACAGUAAAGAUAAGCUUUCUCCUCUAUCUAUUGUCCUAAAGUUAUACAAUACAAUGGACUCAAAGCAGAUAUAUAAGGUUACAAUACUGAUAUGGUAUUAUAUUAACGAUUGCAGGUUUAAACCUAAAUACAUACAUAAAUACAUAAAUAAAACCAUGUGUGGAUCGUUUUCACCUGAAUGCACCAGUCGCUUCUGCGAGGCUUCAACUGUGAAAGGUAAGAUAUCUUUUGUGAUGGUUUCAUUUUUACUAAUGAGAAGAAUGCUGUUUUGAUGAGUUAGUCGUUUCAGUAAGGGUAGUAGAUAUAGGGAAGAUUAUAAAUGUGUAGGUCGUAAAUUUAAAGAAAAUAUUUUUUUUUUAAAAAGGUAUCUAUGGCAGAAUAUGCCAAACCUGAUAUCGAUUUUAGUUUUGAUUUUUAAAGAAUAUUUUUUUUUUGAAUUCGAGAUUUUAAAUUUUGACUGAGAAGUAAUCUUUGGAUAUCUUGUUGUUAGUAGUUGGUUUGAAAAUUUGUUUAAAUUGGAACUGCUUUGCCCAUUAUCUGAUUUCGUGAAUAUGGCUACAUGAAAAUAGGAUGAGAGUUUGUUUAAAAAAUAGUUAUUAAAUAUAGAGUUUUUUUAUUUUUUUAUUAUUUUUUAAUAGUUCGUGAGUAUGGGUACAUAAUUUUCGGAAGUGGGUUUGUUUGGAGAGGAGUUAUGGAAUAUAUUUCAGAAUAUUUAGUUUUCUGGUUAAAAUAUUAAACGAAUUUCAUAUUUCAUAUUUGUAUCUUGUAAGAUGUCUGGUUCUUAUUUUUAUUCAUUGUAUAAGUGUAUCUUGUGAUUACAGAGAACUUAUUAUAGAGUUUAAGUGUUUGAUA